GUAACAAGGUUUCCGUAGGUGAACCUGCGGAAGGAUCAUUACCGAGUGCGGGUCCUUUGGGCCCAACCUCCCAUCCGUGUCUAUUAUACCCUGUUGCUUCGGCGGGCCCGCCGCUUGUCGGCCGCCGGGGGGGCGCCUUUGCCCCCCGGGCCCGUGCCCGCCGGAGACCCCAACACGAACACUGUCUGAAAGCGUGCAGUCUGAGUUGAUUGAAUGCAAUCAGUUAAAACUUUCAACAAUGGAUCUCUUGGUUCCGGCAUCGAUGAAGAACGCAGCGAAAUGCGAUAACUAAUGUGAAUUGCAGAAUUCAGUGAAUCAUCGAGUCUUUGAACGCACAUUGCGCCCCCUGGUAUUCCGGGGGGCAUGCCUGUCCGAGCGUCAUUGCUGCCCUCAAGCCCGGCUUGUGUGUUGGGUCGCCGUCCCCCUCUCCGGGGGGACGGGCCCGAAAGGCAGCGGCGGCACCGCGUCCGAUCCUCGAGCGUAUGGGGCUUUGUCACAUGCUCUGUAGGAUUGGCCGGCGCCUGCCGAC
rnacentral:rRNA from 1 species